CGGCAACAGCUCAAAUUUGAAAUCUGGCCCUCGGGUCCGAGUUGUAAUUUGUAGAGGAUGCUUUUGGUGCGGUGCCUUCCGAGUUCCCUGGAACGGGACGCCAUAGAGGGUGAGAGCCCCGUCUGGUCGGACACCAAGCCUCUGUAAAGCUCCUUCGAC
rnacentral:rRNA from 1 species